rnacentral:rRNA from 1 species
AACGCUAGCGACUAGCCUAACACAUGCAAGUCGAGGGGCAGCGAGGGUAGCUAUACCUGUCGGCGACCGGCGCACGGGUGCGUAACACGUAUACAAUCUGCCUGCUACUAAGGGAUAGCCCUCUGAAUGGAGGAUUAAUACCUUAUAAUACAGGGCUGCGGCAUCGCAAUAUUUGUUAAAGAUUAAUUGGUAGCAGAUGAGUAUGCGCAACAUUAGGUAGUUGGUGAGGUAAAGGCUCACCAAGCCGACGAUGUUUAGGGGUUCUGAGAGGAAGGUCCCCCACACUGGAACUGAGACACGGUCCAGACUCCUACGGGAGGCAGCAGUGAGGAAUAUUGGUCAAUGGGCGAGAGCUGAACCAGCCAAGUCGCGUGAAGGAAGACGGUAUUAUGUAUUGUAAACUUCUUUUGUAGAGGAAUAAAGAGCGUCACGUGUGAUGUAUUGUAUGUACUUUACGAAUAAGCAUCGGCUAACUCCGUGCCAGCAGCCGCGGUAAUACGGAGGAUGCAAGCGUUAUCCGGAUUUAUUGGGUUUAAAGGGUGCGCAGGCGGGUUUGUUAGAUCAGGUGUGAAAUGUUCGCGUCUAAGCGAUAAUAUGCCAUUAGAACUGUAGAUUCUGAGUGACAAUGGAGUAUGGCGAAUGUGCAGUGUAGGCGUGAAAUGCUUAGAUUAUGCACAGAACACCGAUUGCGAGGGCAGCAUACUGGGAUGCAACUGACGCUGAGCACGAAAGUGUGGUAUCAAACAGGAUUAGAUACCCUGGUAGUCCACACAGUAAACGAUGAUUACUGACUGUUUGCGAUAUAAUGUAAGCGGUUAAGCGAAAGCGUUAAGUAAUCCACCUGGGGAGUACGUCGGCAACGAUGAAACUCAAAGGAAUUGACGGGGGCCCGCACAAGCGGAGGAACAUGUGGUUUAAUUCGAUGAUACGCGAGGAACCUUACCCGGGCUUGAAAUGGAGUGGAAUAAUUUGGAAACAGAUUAGUCAGCAAUGACCACUUUGUAGGUGCUGCAUGGUUGUCGUCAGCUCGUGCCGUGAGGUGUCGGCUUAAGUGCCAUAACGAGCGCAACCCUUGCCGUUAGUUGCCAGCGUGUAAAGAUGGGAACUCUAACGGGACUGCCAUCGUAAGAUGUGAGGAAGGUGGGGAUGACGUCAAAUCAGCACGGCCCUUACGUCCGGGGCGACACACGUGUUACAAUGGGGGGUACAGAGGGCAGCGAGCAGGCGACUGUAAGCGAAUCUCAUAAAACCCUUCUCAGUUCGGAUAGGAGUCUGCAACCCGACUCCUUGAAGCUGGAUUCGCUAGUAAUCGCGCAUCAGCCAUGGCGCGGUGAAUACGUUCCCGGGCCUUGUACACACCGCCCGUCAAGCCAUGGAAGUUGGGGGUACCUGAAGUACGUGAGC